GGCCAGACUCCUACGGGAGGCAGCAGUGGGGAAUAUUGCACAAUGGGCGCAAGCCUGAUGCAGCCAUGCCGCGUGUAUGAAGAAGGCCUUCGGGUUGUAAAGUACUUUCAGCGGGGAGGAAGGCGAUAAGGUUAAUAACCUUGUUGAUUGACGUUACCCGCAGAAGAAGCACCGGCUAACUCCGUGCCAGCAGCCGCGGUAAUGCGGAGGGUGCAAGCGUUAAUGGGAAUUACUGGGCGUAAAGCGCACGCAGGCGGUCUGUCAAGUCGGAUGUGAAAUCCCCGGGCUCAACCUGGGAACUGCACUCGAAACUGGCAGGCUGGAGUCUUGUAAAGGGGGGUAGAAUUCCAGGUGUAGCGGUGAAAUGCGUAGAGAUCUGGAGGAAUACCGGUGGCGAAGGCGGCCCCCUGGACAAAGACUGACGCUCAGGGGCGAAAGCGUGGGGAGCAAACAGGAUUAGAUACCCCCGGGCGC
rnacentral:rRNA from 1 species